AUUGAACGCUGGCGGCAGGCUUAACACAUGCAAGUCGAGCGGGGUGAUGGUGCUUGCACUAUCACUUAGCGGCGGACGGGUGAGUAAUGCUUAGGAAUCUGCCUAUUAGUGGGGGACAACAUCCCGAAAGGGAUGCUAAUACCGCAUACGUCCUACGGGAGAAAGCAGGGGAUCACUUGUGACCUUGCGCUAAUAGAUGAGCAUAAGUCGGAUUAGCUAGUUGGUGGGGUAAAGGCCUACCAAGGCGACGGUCUGUAGCAGGUCUGAGAGGAUGAUCCGCCACACUGGGACUGAGACACGGCCCAGACGCCUACGGGAGGCAGCAGUGGGGAAUAUUGGACAAUGGGGGGAACCCUGAUCCAGCCAUGCCGCGUGUGUGAAGAAGGCCUUAUGGUUGUAAAGCACUUUAAGCGAGGAGGAGGCUCUUUUGGUUAAUACCCAAGAUGAGUGGACGUUACUCGCAGAAUAAGCACCGGCUAACUCUGUGCCAGCAGCCGCAGUAA
rnacentral:rRNA from 1 species